rnacentral:lncRNA from 1 species
UGGCCACAACUCUCUCCCAGGGCCUGGCUUUAAAGUGUGCUCUGGAGCUCUGGGAAUGGCCAUCCUCCCCACCCCUUCCCACCGCCUGCCUCCUGAGGCCCUGCGCAGAGGAGCAGAGGAAGGCAGGAGUGCGAGGAGCAUUUUCGUGACCCCUGUGUCAGUGUUCCCGGUGCAGGAGUGUAGCACUUUUGCUUGUUGGGGCUGCAUCCAGAAACCUGGGGAAAAUCUGUCCACUGGACGUCUCAGAAGACCGGCAUCAUCACUCCCACCAACUGGACUGCUGGCCGGUAGCAAAAGACCAGCUGGAAAUUUCAUAAAAGGUUAGACAAUCCACAGUUACUCAGUGUUACGCAACAGGUCUCUGCAGCACAGAGCACGAACUGGGGAGUCAGGAUGCUGGAGUCCAGCCCUGCCUCUCUGCGGAUUCCCUGCCUGACCUUGGGAAAGCCUCUUGGGGUCUCGGGGCAUAGGGCAGGACUGAGACGUUGAGACCCCAAGUGCAAAGAAGACACAUUUCUCCUACCACGAGUAAUCAAAAACACUAUGAAACUGUAAUAUGGGCCGGGUGCGGUGGCUCACGCCUGUAAUCACACUUUCGGAGGCCGAGGAGAUUGAGCCCAGGAGUUGAAGACCAGCCUGGGCAACAUAGGCAGAUCCCAU